UGUGUUUUCAGAGGAGUUGAGAUGACAAACUGUUGCAGAAGUACAUUGAAGCAAAUAAGUUCAAAAGGGCAUAACUCCUAGAAAAAAAUUGAACCGUAAUUUCCUGUUGAUAUGCACAUCUACAUAGUAUGUACUUAUUAUCUACAAAGUUUCAUGAAAUUCUGUUGUGUGGUUUGAGAGGAGUUGCGAUGACAAACUGUUGCAGUAGUACAUUAAAGUAAAUAAGUUCAAAGGGGCGUAACUCCUUGAAAAAAAAUUGAAUCGCAAUUUCCCGUCGAUAUGCAGAACUACAUAGUAUGUCCUUAUUAUCUGAAAAGGUUUCGUGAAAUUCUGUUGUGUGGUUUGAGAGGAGUUGCGAUGACAAACUGUUGCAGUAAUACAUUAAAGUAAAUAAGUUCAAAGGGGCGUAACUCCUAGAAAAAAAAUUGAAUCGCAAUUUCCCGUCGAUAUGCAGAACUACAUAGUAUGUCCUUAUUAUCUGAAAAGGUUUCGUGAAAUUCUGUUGUGUGGUUUGAGAGGAGUUGCGAUGACAAACUGUUGCAGUAGUACAUUAAAGUAAAUAAUUUCAAAGGGGCGUAACUCCUAGAAAAAAAAUUGAAUCGCAAUUUUCCGUCGAUAUGCACAACUACAUAGUAUGUCCUUAUUAUCUGAAAAGGUUUCGUGAAAUUCUGUUGUGUGGUUUGAGAGGAGUUGCGAUGACAAACUGUUGCAGUAGUACAUUAAAGUAAAUAAGUUCAAAGGGGCGUAACUCCUGGAAAAAAAAUUGAAUCGCAAUUUCCCGUCGAUAUGCACAACUACAUAGUAUGUCCUUAUUAUCUGAAAAGGUUUCGUGAAAUUCUGUUGUGUGGUUUGAGAGGAGUUGCGAUGACAAGAAACAGGACUGACGGACGAACG
rnacentral:lncRNA from 1 species